CAACUGGGGUCACCUGCAUUGCAGGCAGAUUCUUUACCAAAUGAGCUAUCAGGGAAGCCCCUACAUACAGUAAUGAACUUCAGCAUGCCUGUUGGUCUGAUUUCCAGAAGAACAGAGGAAAGAUCUAGUCCUUUUACUUGACGAUGAUUCAGCUACUAUUAUUUGCCCCUCUGCAGGGUAGGUAAAUGUGGAUAUCAACUCCCAUCUGAAGUCUUCUUUGAUUUACCCAUGACAAACCAUUUUCUAUCUCAGUUGUCACCAUCACCUCAUUUAUUCACUACAAUCACAGUAUUGAACGACUAUUCAAC
ensembl:lncRNA